rnacentral:rRNA from 1 species
UACGUAGGGGGCAAGCGUUGUUCGGAAUUACUGGGCGUAAAGGGCUCGUAGGCGGCCAACUAAGUCAGACGUGAAAUCCCUCGGCUUAACCGGGGAACUGCGUCUGAUACUGGAUGGCUUGAGUUUGGGAGAGGGAUGCGGAAUUCCAGGUGUAGCGGUGAAAUGCGUAGAUAUCUGGAGGAACACCGGUGGCGAAGGCGGCGACCUGGUCCGAUACUGACGCUGAGGCGCGAAAGCGUGGGGAGCAAACAGG